GAUUAUGGCGUGAUAAUACAACUAAUCGUACGGUUUUCGGUGGCCAAUCACGAAAAUCUCACGUACCUCCGAAUUGAUAUAAAUUUCGAAAAUUUUACAUUCGAAAGGUAUAACUGUUUGUAACUUGUGUACUGUGAGCUUCUAAGCCUUUUUUAUUUCGCCUUCUUUUUUACAAAACCAAAAAACCUCUAAAAUGGGUAAAGAAAGAGUAACCAUGGAUUUCUUCACCGUCCAAGGCAAAGAGAAAAUCUCCUUCGAUAACAUCGUGGUCGUCGACCAAGGCAAAGAGAAAGUCAGCAUGGACUUCGUCGUCGUUGACCAAGGCAAAGAGAAAUCCGCCAUGGAAAUCGUCGCCGUUGACCAAGGCAAAGAAAAAUCCGCCCUUGACUUAGUCAUCGCCUAAUUUUCCUUAUUUUUAAAAUGGUUUAAUAAUGCUUCAACUCCAAGCCGGCCAAAAAAUUACAUCUCGAAAAUAAAAAUGAAACGUUUCAUAAUGUACUUCAACAUGUUGAAUUUUUGGUAAUUUUUUUCAUUAAUAAAUAAAUAUAAAUCAAAAUAUCAA